GAGAUAAUCUGCUAAUGUGGGUGCAGCAGACAUCCCGCGGUUUGUGGAAUCGAUAAAGGAUGGGGAUCAAUGGUGUUUGUGCACUGUGCGGUCUGUGCCCAAUUGCCUGCCUUGUGCUGUGGAAUCUGUACAUCUGGCCAACAUGUGCUUGUGUGAGCCUGACAGUGCAUUUUCCAGAGCCUCACCUCGGCUCUGCCCUGGAGGCUCUGUGCUGCUGGAAUCAGACUCAAGGACCUCAUCAGAGGACCAUGGCCCCGUAUCACCUGGGUCAGGCACUGAAGCUGGGACAGGAGAGCAGAGACUUCCAAAAUGAGGGAUCCCUGUGUUCUGAGGUGAUCAUGACUGGGACCCAAGGACUCAAGCGCAUGCUCCAGAGGGAAUCGUUUCCCACAAGGCCUUUGGCAGGAACAGGGAUCCUGGGAGCCUGCCAAGCAGAGCGCACAGUGUUCCUGGAGUCUCGCUGCCCAGAUGCCACGGAAUCAGUUGAAGCCAGGUCUCCAGCUGGGGUGGACGUGCCCACCAGCUGCCGAAGGCCAAGACGCCAGGUCCGGUGGACGUGACAAGCAGGACAUGACAUGGUCCGGUGUGACGGCGAGGACAGAGGAGGCGCGUCCGGCCUUCCUGAACACCUUAGGCUGGUGGGGCUGCGGCAAGAAGCGGGUCUGUUUCUUUACUUCCUCCACGGAGUCGGCACACUAUGGCUGCCCUCUGGGCUCCCAGAACCCACAACAUGAAAGAAAUGGUGCUACCCAGCUCAAGCCUGGGCCUUUGAAUCCGGACACAAAACCCUCUAGCUUGGAAAUGAAUAUGCUGCACUUUACAACCACUGCACUACCUGACUCAGGAAUCGGCUCUGGAAGGUGAAGCUAGAGGAACCAGACCUCAUCAGCCCAACAUCAAAGACACCAUCGGAACAGCAGCGCCCGCAGCACCCACCCCGCACCGGCGACUCCAUCUUCAUGGCCACCCCCUGCGGCGGACGGUUGACCACCAGCCACCACAUCAUCCCAGAGCUGAGCUCCUCCAGCGGGAUGACGCCGUCCCCACCACCUCCCUCUUCUUCUUUUUCAUCCUUCUGUCUCUUUGUUUCUGAGCUUUCCUGUCUUUCCUUUUUUCUGAGAGAUUCAAAGCCUCCACGACUCUGUUUCCCCCGUCCCUUCUGAAUUUAAUUUGCACUAAGUCAUUUGCACUGGUUGGAGUUGUGGAGACGGCCUUGAGUCUCAGUACGAGUGUGCGUGAGUGUGAGCCACCUUGGCAAGUGCCUGUGCAGGGCCCGGCCGCCCUCCAUCUGGGCCGGGUGACUGGGCGCCGGCUGUGUGCCCGAGGCCUCACCCUGCCCUCGCCUAGUCUGGAAGCUCCGACCGACAUCACGGAGCAGCCUUCAAGCAUUCCAUUACGCCCCAUCUCGCUCUGUGCCCCUCCCCACCAGGGCUUCAGCAGGAGCCCUGGACUCAUCAUCAAUAAACACUGUUACAGCAAUU
ensembl:lncRNA H19 H19 imprinted maternally expressed transcript